UGGCGAACGGGUGAGUAACACGUGAGUAACCUGCCCCAGACUCUGGGAUAACCCCGGGAAACCGGAGCUAAUACCGGAUACGACACGAAGAGGCAUCUCUAUCGUGUGGAAAGUUCUUCGGUCUGGGAUGGACUCGCGGCCUAUCAGCUUGUUGGUGAGGUAACGGCUCACCAAGGCGACGACGGGUAGCCGGCCUGAGAGGGCGACCGGCCACACUGGGACUGAGACACGGCCCAG
rnacentral:rRNA from 1 species